AAUGACACGACAUUGCUCACAUUGCUUCCAGUGUAAUUUAGCUUUACGGCAAAGUGAUAUUUUU
rnacentral:antisense_RNA from 1 species